rnacentral:rRNA from 1 species
CCAGACUCCUACGGGAGGCAGCAGUGGGGAAUAUUGGACAAUGGGGGGAACCCUGAUCCAGCGACGCCGCGUGAGUGAAGAAGUAUUUCGGUAUGUAAAGCUCUAUCAGCAGGGAAGAAAGAAAUGACGGUACCUGACUAAGAAGCCCCGGCUAACUACGUGCCAGCAGCCGCGGUAAUACGUAGGGGGCGAGCGUUAUCCGGAUUUACUGGGUGUAAAGGGAGCGUAGACGGCAGCGCAAGCCUGGAGUGAAAGGAUGGGGCCCAACCCCAUGACUGCUCUGGGAACUGUGCGGCUAGAGUGCCGGAGGGGUAAGCGGAAUUCCUAGUGUAGCGGUGAAAUGCGUAGAUAUUAGGAGGAACACCAGUGGCGAAGGCGGCUUACUGGACGGUAACUGACGUUGAGGCUCGAAAGCGUGGGGAGCAAACAGGAUUAGAUACCCCGGUA